UACAGAGGGUGCGAGCGUUGUUCGGAAUUAUUGGGCGUAAAGGGCGCGUAGGCGGUGCGGUAAGUCACCUGUGAAAUCUCCUGGCUCAACUGGGAGCUUGCAGGCGAAACUGCCGUGCUGGAGUGUGGGAGAGGUGCGUGGAAUUCCUGGUGUAGCGGUGAAAUGCGUAGAUAUCAGGAGGAACACCAGUGGCGAAGGCGGCUACCUGGACCGGUUCUGACGCUGAGGCACGAAGGUCAGGGGAGCAAACGGG
rnacentral:rRNA from 1 species